UACGUAGGUGGCAAGCGUUGUCCGGAUUUACUGGGCGUAAAGAGCGCGCAGGCGGUCGACCAAGUCGCGUGUGAAAGCCCCCGGCUCAACUGGGGAGGGUCACGCGAUACUGAUCGACUCGAAGGCAGGAGAGGGUAGUGGAAUUCCCGGUGUAGUGGUGAAAUGCGUAGAUAUCGGGAGGAACACCAGUGGCGAAGGCGACUUUCUGGUCUGUAACUGACACUGAGGCGCGAAAGCGUGGGGAGCGAAC
rnacentral:rRNA from 1 species